UAACGCGUGAGGAACCUGCCUCAAAGAGGGGGACAACAGUUGGAAACGACUGCUAAUACCGCAUAAGCCCACGGCUCGGCAUCGAGCAGAGGGAAAAGGAGUGAUCCGCUUUGAGAUGGCCUCGCGUCCGAUUAGCUAGCUAGUGAGGUAACGGCCCACCAAGGCGACGAUCGGUAGCCGGACUGAGAGGUUGAACGGCCACAUUGGGACUGAGACACGGCCCAG
rnacentral:rRNA from 1 species